GAUGAACGCUAGCUACAGGCUUAACACAUGCAAGUCGAGGGGCAGCGGUAUCGAAAGCUUGCUUUCGGUAGCCGGCGACCGGCGCACGGGUGAGUAACGCGUAUCGAACCUGCCUCAUACUCGGGAAUAGCCUUGCGAAAGUAAGAUUAAUGCCCGGUGUUUUCAGAGUCCCGCAUGAGGCUUUGAACAAAGAUUUAUCGGUAUGAGAUGGCGAUGCGUCCCAUCAGCUUGUUGGCGGGGUAACGGCCCACCAAGGCAUCGAUGGGUAGGGGUUCUGGGAGGAAGGUCCCCCACAUUGGAACUGAGACACGGUCCAAACUCCUACGGGAGGCAGCAGUGAGGAAUAUUGGUCAAUGGGCGGAAGCCUGAACCAGCCAAGUAGCGUGCGGGAAGACGGCCCUCCGGGUUGUAAACUGCUUUUAGUUGGGAAUAAAACGGGGCUCAUGAGCCCCCUUGCAUGUACCAUCAGAAAAAGGACCGGCUAAUUCCGUGCCAGCAGCCGCGGUAA
rnacentral:rRNA from 1 species